AGUAUCCAGAGAUCGAGUACACAGUGCCAGAGUCGAAAGAAAAUCGAGAUCGAAUUACGACGACGGAGCGGGCAAUAGCAAAUUGGCAAUGGCGUUGAUGAGGGGAGAGCCGCUGGUGACGAAGCUGGCAGUCUUGGCAAAGUACGUUGUUCUUCCUGGGGCCAUGGCCGUUGCUCUCAUCUACUCUCCUCCCCAUUACGGUUCCUCCGACAAGUCCAAUAAAUCCAACAAAUAGAAGGCCCCCACAACCUCUCUUUCUAUUUCACUACAAGUUGGGGCCAUCUUGAUCACUUGGGCAUGCAUGUUUGCAAAAAUUCACUAUUUUUAUGAAACGGGGGUAUGUAAUAAAUUAAUAAUUUUCGUGAUCAAUUUUUGAAUUUUUCUGUGGUUAUUCAGAGAGAUAAAAUGUGUGUGGCUCGUUUGGAAGAACUUGAGUAGUAACUUUCUUCUUUCUUUGACUUUGCCCUUGACUAAACUUUAUCCAAUCAGUGCAAGAUUGCCGCCAUCUUAAAAUUGUGGGUUGUACGAAUACUUAUAUAGAAUAGCUUUAAUUGCUUAUGUUGAUAGAUGAACAUAAGUUGCUGUGAA